CGCCCGGGAGGAGUUCAGGGUUCAAGUGCGCGCCUGGGUCUGUGCACAUCUUCCCCUUCCUCGGCCUCCCUGGAGGGAAGACCGUAGAAGCUUUAUCAUAGGGCCUAGUGUCAUGAUCAUAUAUUUACUCCAUAAAUACCUGUGAGAUGUCUUCAAGCUUAUCUUCAUUUACAUUACAUGGUAAGCAUAGUUCUUUUACUGUUUGCCUUUGAAGUCUUUAUUGGGGUUGGGGGUCUGUGUUUUUAUUGUUUUUGCUGAUUCUUACUCAAGUCUAGUUUCUUUAUGUUGC
rnacentral:lncRNA from 1 species